ensembl:lncRNA
GAAACAGAUUUUGGAGCAUCAAGCAGAGAUCACAGACCUGCUUUGCAGUGAGAAGCCCUGGCUACACCUAGAGUCAUGAUGUAAAUCAGCAGUGCAGCGCUGAGCUUCUUCCACAUUGCAGUGCUCCCAGGUCAGACAAACAUUUGAUACUCUCAACUUUAUUUUAAAAGAUAUCUUUAUACAGUGCUGUGAUGACCACUGAGUCUCCCCUCUCCAGGCUGAGCAGUCCCAGCUCUCUCAGUCUCUCCUCAAAAGAGAGGUGCUCCAGUCCCAUCAUUGUCUUUGUUGCCCUUUAUUGAACUCUCAUCAGCAUGUCC